CGCCGGUUACGACGAAUGAGAGAGGUGGGAAAGAGCGAGUUGAGGCGCGAUCGCGUGAAGCGUGAUCUCGUCGCGCGAGCGAAGCGAACGCCACGCGAUCGCCUUUCAGUACGUUUUGGGACGUGAAUCGUGACGUGUGUGUUGUUCUGGAGUUGCUUUUACCUGGAAGGGUGCUUUUACGAUCGCGUUCUAGGCGUUUUCGGUGUACCCAGUUUGUGAUUGUUUUGUGGCUUGCGGUUCUUGGAAGAACGAAUUGGCUUCGAAAGGUCAUAAACGGAAGAAGACGUUCAAGUCGAAAGUGUUUGUUGUUAGCCUGUGGGAACUUGAGGUGCGUUUAAUGUGGUGAAACUUUGAAUCCAGAUCGGGAUUUGAAUUGCUAAGAGGAACGCGGAAAGAAGAGAAGUUGUGUGAAUUAGAAAAGUAGACAAGUUGGAGAUUUGUUGAAGUCGUGGUCGUUGACAAGAGUGAUGGAUAUUGCUGCGAUUACAAGCGAUAGCCGGGAAUUGGGCAGUGUCGGACUAUCAGAUAAGUGAAAUUUUAAGACCCCUUAUUACAGGCUGGUUGAACAGCCAACAGAGUGAUAAUCACGCUAUCGUCGGAGGUGAUCGUGUGGCAGCUUAGAAAAUAAUUAAACCAAGAGGUGAAAUUUAGAGUCGUGGUCUUGGUCGUUGUUGGUUGGAGCAGCCUUUGGCGGCAGACGAAGAGCUUACAUUGUUUCAUGUGAUACGAAAUGUACCUGGGGUGGUGUAGUUGGGAAUGCGUAAGGGUACACGAUCGCCCGCCAGUUGUUUAAUAAUUUAUGAAUGAGUGAAAUUAAUCAAGUAAAACAACUACCAGUUUCGGAAGAGCCUCGGUGUUUCGGUUCCGCCCCCUUAGUGGGUCGCUCCGCUGCUAGGAAGCGCAGCUAUUCGAUGAAAAGUUGGUGCGAAACCGCGUUUUUCCUAAACAUGAUUUAGCGGCGUGUAUUGCAACUGAAGGAAAAGUACUUCUACAAGAAGCAAUAGGCACACCUCGAAACAACGCAAAAUCUUUCAUGUACAACGGCGCAGCGAAGAAAAAGUGGUCCAAUGCAAAACAGAAGUGUUCGGCGUAGUAAAGUUAAUGGAAAUUGAUUCGAAACCCAGUCAACCGAGAAGAGCCUAAAGAAUUCAAAACCGCAGCAGUGAAGAAACAUACGAAGCACCACAUACCAACACAGUGAAACCCCCCUGCGGCCACAAUUGCUAUUAGUUCAUGCGUCUAAUUAAACGGUUAAAUACUCAUUCGUACAAAACGCGCCAGCUGAAACGAAAGCGCAUCGGCUGCUGCAGGUUGCAUUUUUCAAGUGCAUUCCGUUUUGGUGUUCGACGGCUAAGUUGGAAAGCCGGUCCCCGAAGCCUUUUUGCCUCGAGUGUUUUGCCUGCAGCUGCUGCUGUAGUAUGGGUAUGAGUGAAUGUGAAUGAAGGUGGUGCAAACUGGCCACUACUGGUACUUAGAAAUUGCAUUGCAGCAGCGUGCAAGUUGCACAUCGCCGCCUAACCGAUCGAACCGAAUGGUGGUGGUGUGGUGAAUGGUUGCAGCAGCACUAGCAGUGAGCGGAGAUAUCGAAGGUGGAUCGCCCGUCCGCCGUACCAACUGCUGCACGGUUUAAGGAGAAGGAUUUGUCCAUAAACGAACCAUAAACGGUUGGAAGACACGCGAUUUAGAGGUAUGAAUAUUGAUUGGAAACAAAUAGUUAAUAACCAUUGGUUAUCUCAUGACAGGGUUCAUUGGUGAGUACUCCGGAAGCCAUUGCCCAGCCAAUUAUCAUUAAUAUUCAAGCAAACAAUAAAUUUCACGUACGUUUCGCGGAAUGUUGCUGGCAGAGAAGCGAUCAUUUUUAUUACUCAAACAACAGACCAAAGUAAACAUAAGUACACUCAAACCUCCAUUUAAGUCUCGAAUCCAUUAAAGUAAAUUCUAUUAAAGUCCCUCCAUUUAAGUAACGCAACAUAAAUGGAGUUUGACUGUAUUCCCAGCAAAACAAAUGUAAAGAUGCUACGGUUUCGAAAACAUCUGUUAUUCGAAAAGGUCAUUAGGCUGAAUAGGCCGAAUAGGGACCUUUUCGGCCCAGUCAUGAGGCUGAAUACGU